CCUACGGGAGGCAGCAGUGGGGAAUAUUGCACAAUGGGGGAAACCCUGAUGCAGCGACGCCGCGUGAGUGAAGAAGUACUUCGUUAUGUAAAGCUCUAUCAGCAGGGAAGAAAAUGACGGUACCUGAGUAAUAAGCCCCGGCUAACUACGUGCCAGCAGCCGCGGUCAUACGUAGGGGGCAAGCGUUAUCCGGAUUUACUGGGUGUAAAGGGAGCGUAGACGGCAGUGCAAGUCUGGAGUGAAAGGCGGGGGCUCAACCCCCGGACUGCUCUGGAAACUGUAAGGCUGGAGUGCAGGAGAGGUAAGUGGAAUUCCUAGUGUAGCGGUGAAAUGCGUAGAUAUUAGGAGGAACACCAGUGGCGAAGGCAGCGUACCGGCUCGACACUGACGCUGAGGCACGAAAGCGUAGGUAUCGAACAGGAUUAGAUACCCUGGUAGUC
rnacentral:rRNA from 1 species